GAUGAACGCUGGCGGCGUGCUUAACACAUGCAAGUCGAACGGAAAGGCUCCUGCUUGCAGGGGUACUCGAGUGGCGAACGGGUGAGUAACACGUGGGUGAUCUGCCCUGCACUUCGGGAUAAGCCUGGGAAACUGGGUCUAAUACCGGAUAGGACGAUGGUUUGGAUGCCAUUGUGGAAAGUUUUUCGGUGUGGGAUGAGCUCGCGGCCUAUCAGCUUGUUGGUGGGGUAAUGGCCUACCAAGGCGUCGACGGGUAGCCGGCCUGAGAGGGUGUACGGCCACAUUGGGACUGAGAUACGGCCCAGACUCCUACGGGAGGCAGCAGUGGGGAAUAGUGCACAAGGGGCGCAAGCCUGAUGCAGCGACGCCGCGUGGGGGAUGACGGCCUUCGGGUUGUAAACUCCUUUCGCUAGGGACGAAGCGCAAGUGACGGUACCUGGAGAAGAAGCACCGGCUAACUACG
rnacentral:rRNA from 1 species